rnacentral:lncRNA from 1 species
AGAUACCUGACCAUUCAUUUCCACGGAAAUUUCUCUUGUUGAUAACUCCUUGUUAACGGCAAGUCGACAAAUGUGUCUAGUGUCUCUGGAAGUUAACUUCUUUCUUCUUUCUGAAUGUUUAUUUUUUUCCAUACGCCAUACCUUUUUUGAUAACAUUGUGCACUGCUGUUUUGGACCUUCCAAUUUUUUCAGCAAUUACACGUUCAGAGAGUCCAGCACCCAUGUAAAAAAAGAUUUGCUGAAUUUCUUCAAAACACAAUGCCCCUUCCUGUAGCAUAUUCUUAUACAUUUAUUUGCAAGCAUGAGGAAUGUAAUUUAAUUUGCAUAGGAC